UCUGAUGCGUUGCUGCUUGGACAGCAGUAAC
rnacentral:piRNA from 1 species